GACGAACGCUGGCGGCGUGCUUAACACAUGCAAGUCGAACGGAAAGGCCCUGCUUUUGUGGGGUGCUCGAGUGGCGAACGGGUGAGUAACACGUGAGUAACCUGCCCUUGACUUUGGGAUAACUUCAGGAAACUGGGGCUAAUACCGGAUAGGAGCUCCUGCUGCAUGGUGGGGGUUGGAAAGUUUCGGCGGUUGGGGAUGGGCUCGCGGCUUAUCAGCUUGUUGGUGGGGUAGUGGCUUACCAAGGCUUUGACGGGUAGCCGGCCUGGGAGGGUGACCGGCCACAUUGGGACUGAGAUACGGCCCAGACUGCUACGGGAGGCAGAGGUGGGGAAUAUUGCACAGUGGGCGGAAGCCUGAUGCAGCAACGCCGCGUGCGGGAUGACGGCCUUCGGGUUGUAAACCGCUUUCGCCUGUGACGAAGCGUGAGUGACGGUAAUGGGUAAAGAAGCACCGGCUAACUACGUG
rnacentral:rRNA from 1 species